UACAGAGGUCUCAAGCGUUGUUCGGAUUCAUUGGGCGUAAAGGGUUCGUAGGCGGUCGUGCAAGUCGGAUGUGAAAUCUCAGGGCUCAACCCUGAAACUGCAUUCGAUACUGCGCGGCUAGAGUGCUGGAGGGGAGACUGGAAUUUACGGUGUAGCAGUGGAAUGCGUAGAUAUCGUAAGGAAGACCAGUGGCGAAGGCGAGUCUCUGGACAGCAACUGACGCUGAGGCACGAAGGCCAGGGGAGCAAACGGG
rnacentral:rRNA from 1 species